rnacentral:rRNA from 1 species
AGCAUCUGCGAAUGGGCGAGAUCCUGAGGCGCCCGCCGCGUGCGUGAUGACGGCCCUCUGGUUGGUAAACUGUGUUUAUAUGGAAAAAAAACAUGGGACGUGUCCCUUAUUGCAUGUACCGUACGAAUAAGGACCGCCUGGGUCCGUGCCAGCCCACGCGGUAAUACAAUACA